UGAGUUUGAUCCUGGCUCAGGAUGAACGCUGGCGGCGUGCCUAACACAUGCAAGUCGAACGAAGCACUUUUGUGGAUCCCCUUCGGGGGUGAGGCAAACGUGACUUAGUGGCGGACGGGUGAGUAACGCGUGGGUAACCUGCCUCAUACAGGGGGAUAACAGCUGGAAACGGCUGCUAACACCGCAUAAGCAUACAGCAUCGCAUGAUGCAGUGUGAAAAUAUUUAUAGGUAUGAGAUGGGCCCGCGUCUGAUUAGCUAGUUGGUAAGGUAACGGCUUACCAAGGCGACGAUCAGUAGCCGGCUUGAGAGAGUGAUCGGCCACAUUGGGACUGAGACACGGCCCAAACUCCUACGGGAGGCAGCAGUGGGGAAUAUUGCACAAUGGGGGAAACCCUGAUGCAGCAACGCCGCGUGAGUGAAGAAGUAUUUCGGUAUGUAAAGCUCUAUCAGU
rnacentral:rRNA from 1 species